UCGCAAUGGGCGAAAGCCUGACGGAGCAACGCCGCGUGUGGGAGGAAGGUUUUAGGACUGUAAACCACUUUUCUCAGGGAAGAAGACCUGACGGUACCUGAGGAAUAAGCAUCGGCUAAUUCCGUGCCAGCAGCCGCGGUAAUACGGGAGAUGCAAGCGUUAUCCGGAAUUAUUGGGCGUAAAGCGUUCGUAGGCGGUUCAACAAGUCUGUUGUCAAAGGUCGCAGCUUAACUGCGGAAAGGCAAUGGAAACUGUGGAGCUAGAGUGUGGUAGGGGUAAGGGGAAUUCCCAGUGUAGCGGUGAAAUGCGUAGAUAUUGGGAAGAACACCAGCGGCGAAAGCGCU
rnacentral:rRNA from 1 species